rnacentral:rRNA from 1 species
CAAGGCUUCGAUGGGUAGGGUCCUGAGAGGGGAUCCCCCACACUGGGUACUGGGCACGGACCAGAUUCCUACGGGAGGCAGCAGUGAGGAAUAUUGGACAAUGGGCGCAAGCCUGAUCCAGCCCUGCCGCGUGCAGGAUGACGGUCCUAUGGAUUGUAAACUGCUUUUAUACGAGAAGAAACACUGCUUCGUGAAGCAGCUUGACGGUAUCGUAAGAAUAAGGAUCGGCUAACUCCGUGCCAGCAGCCGCGGUAAUACGGAGGAUCCAAGCGUUAUCCGGAAUCAUUGGGUUUAAAGGGUCCGUAGGCGGUUUAAUAAGUCAGUGGUGAAAGCCCAUCGCUCAACGGUGGAACGGCCAUUGAUACUGUUAAACUUGAAUUAUUAGGAAGUAACUAGAAUAUGUAGUGUAGCGGUGAAAUGCUUAGAGAUUACAUGGAAUACCAAUUGCGAAGGCAGGUUACUACUAAUGGAUUGACGCUGAUGGACGAAAGCGUGGGUAGCGAACAGGAUUAGAUACCCUGGUAGUCCACGCCGUAAACGAUGGAUACUAGCUGUUGGAAGCAAUUUCAGUGGCUAAGCGAAAGUGAUAAGUAUCCCACCUGGGGAGUACGUUCGCAAGAAUGAAACUCAAAGGAAUUGACGGGGGCCCGCACAAGCGGUGGAGCAUGUGGUUUAAUUCGAUGAUACGCGAGGAACCUUACCAAGGCUUAAAUGUAGUUUGACCGAUUUGGAAACAGAUCUUUCGCAAGACAAAUUACAAGGUGCUGCAUGGUUGUCGUCAGCUCGUGCCGUGAGGUGUCAGGUUAAGUCCUAUAACGAGCGCAACCCCUGUUGUU